rnacentral:lncRNA from 1 species
AGGGUCGGCCUCCACGAAAAAAAAAAAACUGCCGUAAACCUAUCUACCUACUGGGCUACCUACCCGACUACCUGGCUCCAUUAUUCCUUCGGCAAUAAGAAACUCAAACCCAAUCUUAUCCCAGACCCAGCCCGCCAAUUUAAUAGCUACACAGUAUCACAACAGUACUCGAGGAGGUGCAAAGCCGCGGUGCAAUGGCUGCUGGGGCCAGCCAUAAGAGUCCUUUGUUGGUUUGGAGCUAAGCCCAAUGCGCUGCUGGUCAGCCUGUCCGGCAGGUCAAUACAUGUUUGGUCCAUCCAUCCAGCCCGCCAGGCAGGCCAGCCAGCCCGGACACAGACGUUGCAGUGUCCCAUUUUGUGACCUCAUGCGUGCUGUGUAUACCAUGAAGGCUUCCCUGCAGCCUCUGCGGCAACACAAAUGCACACAACACAGCGCAACACGCAUGGGCCACCUCCGUUGGCCGAACGGCCCAACCUGUCACAUUCAACACACGCACACACACAUCGCAGCGUGUGAUAUUGCCGCUGCUGAAGCUUCCUGAGGAGACGGCUUGCUUCAAUUUUAUUCUCUUCCCUUCGCUUUCUUCCUUCCGCCAGGUCGCUAUCCUGAUGAGACCCUUACGUCCCUCUGAAAACAUCUCCGGUGAUAUAGUUUCAGAGCGACCUAAGGGUCUCAUCAGGAUAUUUUCAUCUCGGGUGGCAGCAUCGGACCGGGGUAAUGGCACCGCCCAAUCGGCACUGCAGCUCUCGCAUGUGCCACUGUCUCCGCCCCUAAUGUGUCAACACCCCUAAUACCACUUGACCAGGUAACUCCUCGCACGCGCUCGGAGCCCCACGGUCCGUCGCACCUCCCAUCCUUCUUUCCGUGUCUCCGUUCCGUACUGCUCCAUCACGACCCUCUACACGCCUCCAGACGACCUAGAUCCUUGGGGACGACGCGUCAGCCAUCACGCCCAUCUCCUCGCGCUCGUCGUCCUCGUCCCUCGUCGCCUCCUCAUCUACGACCCACCCGUUACCGCCGCUGUCGUCCUCCCCGUCCUCCUCCUCCUCUUCCACUUCGUCUUCCUCCUCGUCUUCCUCCUCCUCCUCCUCCUCUUCUUCUUCUUCCUCCUCCU